rnacentral:rRNA from 1 species
AUUGAACGCUGGCGGCAGGCCUAACACAUGCAAGUCGAGCGAGCGGCGGACGGGUGAGUAAUGUAUGGGGACUGCCCGCUAGAGGGGGAUAACUACUGUAAACGGUAGCUAAUACCGCAUACUAUCGGAUAACCCAUAUGGGAUGAGCUAGUAGGUGGGGUAAUAGCUCACCUAGGCGACGAUCCCUAGCUGGUCUGAGAGGAUGGGCAGCCACCCUGGGACUGAGGCACGGCCCAGACUCCGACGGAGGCAGCAGUGGGGAAUAUUGCACAAUGGGGGCAAGCCUGAUGCAGCCAUGCGGCGUGUAUGAAGAAGGCCGUAGGGUUGUAAAGUACUUUCAGUCGGGAGGCGUUACCAACAGAAGAAGCACCGGCUAACUCCGUGCCAGCAGCCGCGGUAAUAC